UAAGCAUAUCACUGAGCGCAGGAGAAGAAACUAACCAGGAUUUCCCUAGUAACGGCGAGCGAACCGGAAAGAGCCCAGCUUGAAAAUCGUGGCGCCCCGGCGCCUCGAAUUGUAGUCUGGAGAAGGUCCCUCUGCGGCGCGCCGGACCCAAGUUCCCUGGAAAGGGACGCCAUCGAGGGUGAGAGCCCCGCUGAUUCCGGAGUGCGCCGCUCCACGAGGACCUGUCUGCGAGUCGGGCUGUUUGGGAAUGCAGCCCUAAGCGGGUGGUAAAUUCCAUCCAAGGCUAAAUAUUGGCAAGAGACCGAUAGCGAACAAGUACCGCGAGGGAAAGAUGAAAAGGACUUUGAAAAGAGAGUUAAAAAGUGCUUGAAAUUGCUGGGAGGGAAGCGAAUGGAAGCUGCGGGUGCGCCCCGGUUGGAUGUGGAACGGCUGUCAAAGGCUGGUCCGCCACUCAACGCGGGGCGCUGGUCAGCGUGGGCCAUCGCGGCGGGACAAGAGCGGGGAUUCGCUUCCCGCCGAUGCCGCUGCGGUGGCCGAGGAACGAAGCGCGCGCUCUUCAUGGGCGUGGGACUUGUCCCAACUGCGCGCUCGGGACGCUGGCGUAUUGAGCUCUUCAUCCGACCCGUCUUGAAACACGGACCAAGGAGUCUAACAUGUAUGCGAGCCGGUGGGCGGCAAACCCAUUGAGGCGCAAGUAACCUGACAGGUGGGACCCCGACCGCAAGGGAGGGAGCACCAUCGACCGACCGUGAUCUUCUGUGAAGGGUUC
rnacentral:rRNA from 1 species